UGUCAAAUCAGCAAGAAAGAUUGGAAAAGAAAUAACUGUAAAUAGGAAAACCACUGACAACUACUGAGUCCUCUAAAAGGCUCUCCUCCACCCUCGGUCUCCAAUAGAAAGGGUGAACUGCUGCAUCUGCCUGAUAUACUCUGCACACCCUGAUGUCCUGUCUUAAGUUCAAUGAACAUAACACCAACAUCCUGAAAAUGGGUUUUUGUAAAUUGGAAGCUUUUCU